UUUUUAUCAACAAGGAAAUAAGUUAGAUCAUCUGCAGAGAAAUUAUGAAGGCCUUGAAAGGUUUAUAGAAGGCUUAUUUUCGACUUAACACAGUGAAUGAGAAUGGUUGGUAAUAUGAACAGCUGGGAGUGGAAGGACAGAAGGUUACAGUGAUAAAACACAUCUGACAACUAAGUUCAUAGAUGAACUUCAUUUUGCAAUUCUGCAUACCUUCCUGCACCAAUCUGUAUGGAACAGCAGCAGCUGUACUUUGAAUGAGUAAUCUAAUCAAACGUGUUGGUGUAUAGAUGUCAAAUAUGUUAAUGUAUAGAUGGAGCAGCAUUAUCUAGAUCAAAGAAACUGUAGUCUGCCUACAUGAAGCUGUGACCUGGGGCAGAAUGAAAGAAAUA
rnacentral:lncRNA from 1 species